GAUGAAGAACGCAGCGAAAUGCGAUAAGUAGUGUGAAUUGCAGAAUUCCGUGAAUCAUCGAAUCUUUGAACGCACAUUGCGCCCGCCAGCACUCUGGCGGGCAUGCCUGUCCGAGCGUCAUUUACCACCCUCGGGCCCCCUUGGGGGCCCGGUGCUGGGGGCACGGCCCAGGCCGCCCCCGAAAUGCAGUGGCGACCCCGCCGCGUCCUCCCCUGCGCAGUAGCACAAUCUCGCACCGGAAGCGCGGAGGCGGUCACGCCUGGAAACGCCCCAACUCAACGCAGUUGACCUCGGAUCAGGUAGGAGUACCCGCUGAACUUAAGCAUAUCAAUAAGCGGAGGA
rnacentral:misc_RNA from 1 species